UCUGGUGUCAGCCGCCGCGGUAAAACCAGCACCUCAAGUGGUCAGGAUGAUUAUUGGGCCUAAAGCAUCCGUAGCCGGCUCUGUAAGUUUUCGGUUAAAUCUGUAUGCUCAACAUACAGGCUGCCGGGAAUACUGCAGAGCUAGGGAGUGGGAGAGGUAGACGGUACUCGGUAGGAAGGGGUAAAAUCCUUUGAUCUAUUGAUGACCACCUGUGGCGAAGGCGGUCUACCAGAACACGUCCGACGGUGAGGGAUGAAAGCUGGGGGAGCAAACCGGAUUAGAUACCCGGGUAAUCCCAGCUGUAAACUAUGCAAACUCAGUGAUGCAUUGGCUUGUGGCCAAUGCAGUGCUGCAGGGAAGCCGUUAAGUUUGCCGCCUGGGAAGUACGUACGCAAGUAUGAAACUUAAAGGAAUUGGCGGGGGAGCACCACAAGGGGUGAAGCCUGCGGUUCAAUUGGAGUCAACGCCAGAAAUCUUACCCGGAGAGACAGCAGAAUGAAGGUCAAGCUGAAGACUUUACCAGACAAGCU
rnacentral:rRNA from 2 species